CGGUGGCAGUAACGCAGCUGCGUAGGAUCCAUAGCGCAGCAGCAGUAAGAUCAGUGAUGUGAAGCACGUGUUCAACGAUGACGUGAUGACUAUGUGUACGACCACCUGGAGGAAGCCCUUCGUCCAGUCUGAAUUUCUGAAUUAUCACCGCUGCUAUGAAAAACAGACCGUUGCGAAGUUCGAAUCUAACGAAAUAGGCUAUUAUUUUUAAAUCAAUAAAAUCAUCUUUUAAAUCAAUAUUUUGUUUCAAAUUAUUGAUUUAUUUAGUAAGUAGUCGUGUAAUAAGCAGGAUCAUGUACCGCGAGCCUGUCAUAAGUUUAUUUCGCAAUUAUGAUCGGCUCGCUGUAGCCUACAUUAUCCCUUACUAAACUCAAUUUCUAGGUCGGAGAAGUGUCUCUUCUUGGCCGUAUUACGCAUCUCCGUGUCGUAAACUCUAGAGGCGAGGCCUCUAAAUUGAGAAUAUAUAGGGGCGUGGUAUCUGCCGCGACAUUUAUCAAUGCCCGAUUGUUCUUACGCUGUGAUAGGCGAGAUACGGAAGUUUCAUGAAUCACACCUGAACCCUAGCGUAAGAUGAUAUUUGUGGUCGGAUCUGCACGAGUUUCUACGUUCUUUUGAUAAAUGAGGGCCACUAAGUGGUUGCUAUGGGUUACUAAGUGGUUGUUAGGUGGUUUGUGAAGUGUUGCUAGGUGGUUGCUAGGGUGUUGAUAGGGGUACUAGGCGGUUGCUGUGGUGUUGCUAGAUGGUUGCCAGGUGGUAGCUUAGGUGUUUAAUAGGGUGUCAACAUUGGGUUGCUGAGAGUCAAAAAUGAAAAAGACAGUAGUUGUGUCUCAAACCACAUACUUCUAUGCAGUGCCUGAAUUGGACCAAAAAAGGUGCCAGUACCGUAAUUCAGCAGUUGCAUGACAUGAGGUGUAAUGCCGUGGCAAGAGUAUUGUAAUACACAAUAAGAAGUAAGGGUACUCAUGUCGACACAAAUCAGAAGUGCCGGUACUCAGUAUCGGUGAGUACCAGACCAUUUCAGGCACUGCUUCUAUGCUUUAUACUCCCAUGCUCUCGAGGGCACACUCCAGUGCAUGCUUCAGAGUAUGUGCUUUAGAGCCCCCUUCUAAAGGUAAUGUCUCGGUUUACAAGAAUACAUAUUUUUGAUUUGAGUUGUUUUCUUUCAAAUAACUUAAAUAUCUUUACUUAGGUAAAGGAGUGCAGAAGAAAAGGAAGAGCUGGGUCAGACCGGAAGUCUGCGCUGUGGAAAAACACUUGAUGCACUUCAUCCAAACAUAUCGGGUCCCAGGAAAGAAUGCAUGCAAGGCUUGCAUCAAGGCUGAGCCACUAUCUCUUAAGGAUAGAAAUUGGCUAGCUGUUAAAUUCUACAUUAAAAACCGCAUAACGGCAUUACAGAGAAAAGAUUAAAUCCUAAGACACCAAAGUCGGUGUAUUUAUUUUGAACAUUGAACGUUUGAGAAGGUAACAAGUUCAACGUGUUGCGUGCUAUGACAUUGUCUUUAGCAAUUUUGAGUUACAUUUAACAAUUGGUUGGUUUCUAUCCUGAAGAGCUAGUGUUAAGUGUAACAUUGGUUUAAUGUUGGUACAUUAAGUACAUUCAUUUGAGAUCUCCAGAAACAGAGAGGGGGUAUUUGAGAAUGUACGCCUAUUUUGUUUCAGUCCUGUUACAUGCACUGCUCCUUUUCAGAAAUGCUACAUGUACUAGCAUUUACAUGUUCUACAUGUGUAAUGUACCUUUGGGUUACACUUGUUAAUGUUCCUUUUUGGGGGAAAUAAAUAAAUUAUUUCCAGACA